UACGGAGGGUGCGAGCGUUGUUCGGAAUCACUGGGCGUAAAGCGCGUGUAGGCGGCCCACUAAGUCUGAUGUGAAAGCCCGGGGCUCACCCCCGGAAGUGCAUUGGAAACUGGUGGACUCGAGUCCCGGAGAGGAGAGUGGAAUUCCUGGUGUAGCGGUGAAAUGCGUAGAUAUCAGGAGGAACACCGGUGGCGAAGGCGGCACUCUGGGCCGGUACUGACGCUGAGGAGCGAAAGCGUGGGGAGCGAACAGG
rnacentral:rRNA from 1 species